UACGUAGAAGACUAGUGUUAUUCAUCUUUAGUAGGUUUAAAGGGUACCUAGACGGUAAAAUUAAAUCUUAAACAAGAUAUGUUUUUACUAGAGUUAUAUAUGAGGAGGUGAGUAUUUAUGGAGUAGAGUUGAAAUUUGUUGAUCCCAUAACGACUGGUAGCGGCGAAAGCAACCUUUUAUGUAAUAACUGACGUUGAGGGACGAAGGCUCGGGUCACGAACAGG
rnacentral:rRNA from 1 species